rnacentral:rRNA from 1 species
CACAUGCAAGUCGAGCGGACAGAUGGGAGCUUGCUCCCUGAUGUUAGCGGCGGACGGGUGAGUAACACGUGGGUAACCUGCCUGUAAGACUGGGAUAACUCCGGGAAACCGGGGCUAAUACCGGAUGCUUGUUUGAACCGCAUGGUUCAAACAUAAAAGGUGGCUUCGGCUACCACUUACAGAUGGACCCGCGGCGCAUUAGCUAGUUGGUGAGGUAACGGCUCACCAAGGCAACGAUGCGUAGCCGACCUGAGAGGGUGAUCGGCCACACUGGGACUGAGACACGGCCCAGACUCCUACGGGAGGCAGCAGUAGGGAAUCUUCCGCAAUGGACGAAAGUCUGACGGAGCAACGCCGCGUGAGUGAUGAAGGUUUUCGGAUCGUAAAGCUCUGUUGUUAGGGAAGAACAAGUACCGUUCGAAUAGGGCGGUACCUUGACGGUACCUAACCAGAAAGCCACGGCUAACUACGUGCCAGCAGCCGCGGUAAUACGUAGGUGGCAAGCGUUGUCCGGAAUUAUUGGGCGUAAAGGGCUCGCAGGCGGUUUCUUAAGUCUGAUGUGAAAGCCCCCGGCUCAACCGGGGAGGGUCAUUGGAAACUGGGGAACUUGAGUGCAGAAGAGGAGAGUGGAAUUCCACGUGUAGCGGUGAAAUGCGUAGAGAUGUGGAGGAACACCAGUGGCGAAGGCGACUCUCUGGUCUGUAACUGACGCUGAGGAGCGAAAGCGUGGGGAGCGAACAGGAUUAGAUACCCUGGUAGUCCACGCCGUAAACGAUGAGUGCUAAGUGUUAGGGGGUUUCCGCCCCUUAGUGCUGCAGCUAACGCAUUAACCACUCCGCCUGGCGAGUACGGUCGCAAGACUGAAACUCAAAGGAAUUGACGGGGGCCCGCACAAGCGGUGUAGCAUGUGGUUAAUUCGA